rnacentral:misc_RNA from 1 species
GAUGAAGAACGUAGCGAAAUGCGAUAAGUAGUGUGAAUUGCAGAAUUCAGUGAAUCAUCGAAUCUUUGAACGCACAUUGCGCCCCUUGGUAUUCCAUGGGGCAUGCCUGUUCGAGCGUCAUUUGUACCCUCAAGCUCUGCUUGGUGUUGGGUGUUUGUCUCGCGGUUCUGCGCAGACUCGCCUUAAAACAAUUGGCAGCCGGCUUGUUAGCCUGGAGCGCAGCACAUAUUGCGCCUCUUGCUAGCGACUGCCCGGCACCCAUCAAGCCCAUUUAUUUGCUCUUGACCUCGGAUCAGGUAGGGAUACCCGCUGAACUUAAGCAUAUCAAUAAGCGGAGGA